GCCCUCCAUGAUAAAAUGUAGGAGAGCUUACCUUGCCAGUUAGCAAAUAAUUCCCCAGUGUCUGAGGGGGAAAAAUCCAUCUUGGCAGCUGAACAACCUUGCCUGUUUGUCUGCAGUCUCAUAGAUGCUGGCAGAGCUGCUCCUCUCACCAGGACGGACUGUGCAGGGCUGGAGAGGAGAUUCGCUCUUUCUCUGAGAGAUAAAGAGCGCAGGAGUGUCCUGGCCCUGACUGAGAGACAAGAGAAUUAAAACUGCAGGAAUGGACUCCUUGGUCCCAGGAGCCCGGAACCACUGUGACAAUUUGCACCCCAUAAACAUGCCAACCACUGGGAAUUUUGUUUUCCAGCACCCAGCUUGCCUUGGAUAGUGGACAGAGGCCCUCUGGCACCAUCAGCAUCCCAUCCUGCCUGCAGAAAGCUCUCCAUCCUCUGUGGCGCUCUCCGUCAGGAAAGUACUUGCACUUUCCAGACAGUGAUGCAGGAAAGGAUGUCACCAACAUCGUGCUUCUGACACACACCCCUGUAACGUGCCGAUACCAGACAACAGUGCUCUGUCAGAACCAAAUCCCCAUUAGGACAGCAGCGAUCUUCCCGAGGCCGCCCCAUCUCGUUUGCAGUGCGUGCUGCCAGGCGGCCGUCACGCUGAGGAGCCCCGGGAUGCUGGUGCUGUGCUGGCCGUGCUCCCACGCAUCAGAGCAGGAGGAUUUGAUGUGGCAUCCUAACAGCCCACAGGAACGUGUGUCAGCAGGAUUUGUGAAAGUGUCAGUGAUUCAGGAACGCACGCACUCACAGCCCGCCUUCAACGUGGUUUUGAUGUUAAACCAAGUGGUGAAGCAGAGUCAGUGUGUUCCAGAACA
ensembl:lncRNA